rnacentral:rRNA from 1 species
UACGUAGGGGGCAAGCGUUGUUCGGAAUUACUGGGCGUAAAGCGCGUGUAGGCUGUUCGGAAAGUCGGGUGUGAAAGCCCUGGGCUCAACCUAGGAAGUGCACUCGAAACUCCCGAACUGGAGUCCCGGAGAGGAAGGUGGAAUUCUCGGUGUAGAGGUGAAAUUCGUAGAUAUCGAGAGGAACAUCGGUGGCGAAGGCGGCCUUCUAGACGGUGACUGACGCUGAGACGCGAAAGCGUGGGGAGCAAACAGG